rnacentral:lncRNA from 1 species
UGGUGGGGGCUGAGCAUCCCUUUUUAUGGUCUUCACUGUUGCUAGGUAACUGGGGAGGAGUUUAGCCUGAAGGUCAGAAGCUUGGGCUAUUGUCUACGUGACUACUGACCAUGCUUCUCUUGUGGGGGCUGUGGUGGGUGGUAACUUAGGCAGGGGCUAGCUAGAGUUCCAGGAGCAUGAGGGAACUCCUACCGUGUCAUGUAGGUGAAUUAUGACCAUGGGGGUUCAGACUUCAGCUCGACUAGAUACCAGUCUGCAAUUCCCCACACUUCCCCACUUCUGUGAUGAAGCCUUCUCCAGAGUGUUUUGUUCCAGCCACAGACAUGGCACACAGUUCUGCACAGUAAAGACAGGGACAUGCUUGAAGCAGGGGACAAUUCUCAAGCAGCACUGACCUGUGAGGGCAACACUAACAAGCAUGGAGUCUUCAUGUCAGUCAGGCACUCUAGUAAACACACACACAUACACACACACACACACACACCAUACUCAUUCCCAUAUACUCACCACACACACAUACACACACAUCUCAUAGAUCCCAUACACACCACACACACAAACAAACACACUACAUCUACUACUCACAUACAUACACCACACACA